rnacentral:rRNA from 1 species
UACAGAGGUCCCCAGCGUUGUUCGGAUUCACUGGGCGUAAAGGGUGCGUAGGCGGUUUGAUCCGUCUGAUGUGAAAUCCCGCCGCUUAACUGCGGAACUGCAUUGGAAACUAUUUGACUAGAGGAAUGGAGGGGAGACUGGAAUACUUGGUGUAGCAGUGAAAUGCGUAGAUAUCACGUGGAACACCAGUGGCGAAGGCGAGUCUCUGGACAUUUCCUGACGCUGAGGCACGAAAGCCAGGGGAGCAAACGGG